rnacentral:lncRNA from 1 species
CGCGCUCCACCUCGACGCGGGCUUUGUCGUUGGUUAGCUGGUCCACCUGCCGGCGCAGCUCCCGCAUCUCCUCCUCGUAGAGGUCCCCCAGGCGCGACUUGCCUUGGCCCUUGAGCUGCUCGAGCUCGGCCAGCAGGAUCUUAUUCUGCUGCUCCAGGAAGCGCACCUUGUCGAUGUAGUUGGCGAAGCGGUCAUUCAGCUCCUGCAGCUCCACCUUCUCGUUGGUGCGGGUGUUCUUGAACUCGGUGUUGAUGGCGUCGGCCAGCGAGAAGUCCACCGAGUCCUGCAGGAGCCGCACCCCGGGCACGCUGCUCCGCAGGCGCACGGCAGAGGAGCGCGUGGCAUACACGCCGCCCGGGGACGAGGCGUAGAGGCUGCGGCUGGUGCUGGGGCGCAGCGCGCUGCCCAGGCUGUAGGUGCGGGUGGACGUAGUCACGUAGCUCCGGCUGGAGCUCGGCCGGCUCGCGGUGCCCGGGCCGCCGAACAUCCUGCGGUAGGAGGACGAGGACACGGACCUGGUGGACAUGGCUGCGGAGGGUGGCGAUGGCCUGGGCGGCGGCGGUGGCGCGGACUGGCUCCCGGAGAAGAGGCGAACGAGGGCGCG